AGGACAAAGCUUUAGAAAAAGGCGGAUUUACAUAAAUUUACUGUAUAGCAGAACUUUUUGGAAAAGACUUUAUUUCCCAAUUUUCAUCUCACACGUGCCAAUCCUUGAAUUUUUUUUUUUGUCUCCUCCUAACUACCUCUUUCUGAUUUUUACUCUCUCCUCCAUUCUUUUCUCUUUCUGGAUCAUUCUUCAAUUUCUCUCUCCUCUUCAAGCUUUUUUCUCCAAGUUCUCUCUCUUUCAUCUCUCUUUUACUUUCAAUUUUACAGGUUAAUUGAUGCCGAUAUUUUUUCCCAUUUCUUUGAUUGUUGUUUGAUUUUUCUUUGUUAUUAAAAAUUGUUUUCAUUUUGCGAAGUUAAGUGAGACGAUGGUUGCGAAAGUUUUGAUCAAGAAGAAAUUACUCCAGUUAUAAUCGUAGAUUCGAAACAUAUAGGAGGUAAUUUUGUUAUUUCUAUGUUUUUGUAACCUAAUUUUUUAAUUUGUUCGAUUGAUUUCGAUUUUCUAGAUUUUGUAGCCUACUUUUUGUAUUUGUCAUUUUUAUUUUGAUGUUCUUUAAUUUCUAGAGUUCUUGUGAUAUGGAUAUUCAUUUGGUUCCGAUUUGUUCUUAUUUACAAUAUAUUUGGGAAUUAUAUCAAGCUUAUAAUAGCCUAGCUGUAAAUUUUAGAAGCUACUCACUAAGAGCUUGCAUUGCCGAUUUGUAUGAUCUGUCUUGCAUACUUUGAUAGCACAUGAUAAAGCACCCCAAUAUUACAUCUUCACUACAUUUAGCCAUUUAUUAUGUAUGCUGCAUUAUUGUGCUAAUAUCUUCAGACCAACAUUAAUCAAGACCUUUAGCUUGUGCAUUAGCAGCAAACAAACUUCGUUGUCGAAUUUAAUAAUAAAAUCCAUUGCAAAUUAUGACAUUUGAUAUUGUUGCUUGAUUGUGGAGAGAUAUGAAUUAUAUUGCGUUGUUUGAUGGAUCGGAGGACAUUGUCUCGUCCUUGUGUAUUUUCCUUUGUUGGACCGUAUAUUAUUAGAUUAUUACUUUUGUAGGUACUUUGUAUAAGUUUAAUUUGAAGGGUCCCUUGGGGAUCGAUACGUGUAAUUUUGUUGUAUCCAGGGUGACUCUUAUGAGCAUAUGAAAGCUGACAUUAUAUAUUUGAAGGGUACUGUUUGUAAAUAAGAACAAUUGUAAUUUAUGUAUACAAAUCAAUAAAUAUGUAUGUGAAGUGUAUUGAGCUAUCUUCAUAGAUUCAUAGUGUUAAUAUCUUUGUCAUAGUACAAGAGAUAAGGAAAUGACUACUACUUCUUAGCAUAUUAAUUAGAACAUAAUCAAGGAAUGGCAUCUCUCCCCCCCUCUCUAUGAGAAUACUAGGUCAUUUUCCUUAAAUAUGUGACUAUAUUUCCAUUGUUAUGAUAGAAAUGGAAAGUGUCUAAUUUCAAGGCUAUUAGCUUAAAUGGUAGAGCAAUUUGCUAUAAUGUACAUGGUGUGGGUUCAAGCCCCACAUAGGCUACAUAACACUUGUAUAUUGUUGAAUUCUUAUUUUUGCUGGUGUAACAUUGGUCAUUUCUAUAAGUUGUAACAAGCAUAACACUCUUGGUUAGGAUAUGUUAAGUGCUUUUGAUCACGGUUACUUUUGUCUUAGUUAGGGUCACUUUCACCCUUAUAAAAGGUCAUUUUUGUUCUCCCUUAAAUAAGGUCACUUUUGUUCUCGUUAGGGUAACUUUUAUCUUUGGUUAGGGUUACUUUUGCCUUAGUUAGGGUCACUUUCACCCUUAAGUAAGGUUACUUUUGUUCUUGUUAGGAUAACUUUUAUUCUUGGUUAGAGUCACUUUUGCCUUACUUAGAGUCACUUUCACCCUUAAGUAAGAUCACUUUUUGUUCUUGUUACGAUAACUUUUGUUUUUGUUAUAUUAACUUUUGCUCUUGUUAAGGUAACUUUUGUCCUUGUUGGUUAGAGUCACUUUUGUCUUACUUAGGGUCACUUUUACCCUUAAGUAAGGUCACUUUUGUUCUUGUUAGGGUAACUUUUGUUUCCUAGUUACGGUCACUUUUGCCUUACUUAGGGCCACUUUAACCUUUAAAUAAGGUUACUUUUAAUAAAGUUAUCUAUAUUGUUUUAAUGCCGAGAAUUAAGUUCAAGAAAGUUAAGAGAUUCGAUGUUUGUUCUUAUACAAAGCCAAUAGCCUAUAUAGGAUUCGAACCUACAUACUCUGUGCAAGACAGAGUGCUCGACCAACUGAAAUAAUAGGCUAUAUGACAACACAAUAUGAAAUAAUUACAAAUUUAUAGUAGUAUAAAACUUGCAGACUAAAUUGAACCAGUUCAUAGCAAUAUAAAAACGGCAAAUUGGCAGAAUAGAAAUUCUAAAUUUUUUGAUGCAGUGAUGCAUUUAGGACAAACUAAUGGUUCCAAUUUCCAAGUAGUUCUAUAAUACAAAAAUCAGCAUGGUUUUAGUUUUAAUUCAAUGUCAACCAUUGUUCAAAGAAACUAAUUGCUAUUUGUUUAGCCAACCAUAUAAACGAUUCUUUAAGCAAACCUUCAAUAAAAAGUCAGAUCACAAUUUCAUAUAGGUUAUAGUUAAUAAAGAGUCAACAAUGUUUAAAAUUGUAUAUGCAUUAAUCUCAGACUCGUAAAUUUUGUUAGUUAUUACCCCUAAACCGCUACUUUAGGAACUUUGACACACAUUAAAUGAAACACAUUAUUAAUUUCAAUUUAUCAAAAGAUUGAUUCAAAAGUUUCUGUGUUAACAUAAUCACUUGCUUUGAUCGAUUAUUACCUAGAUUUAACAAACUAGCAUUAGAAAUUUAAUUAAAAUAAACGAAAAACGAAAAGUAUAUUUCCUGGGUUUUGAUUCCCCCUAAUUUGUGAACUCGAAUUCCUGGCUUCAUCAUCCAUCCUCCAAUCCGAAGCAAUUUUCUUCAAUUGUGUUGUUUAAAUCGAUUUUCAUUCUAUUUUUCAAUUGAUAUUCCAGUAUUAGAGCUUGAAUAUGUCGUUGUCAUUGUAGAAACCCUUAUAUCAAAUUUAAACAAUUCGAGAAAUUGAACAGAUGCUUUGUUGCAUGAUGAUUUGUAAUUCUUUCCGCCAUUGUUGAUUGAAACUCGUAGAUCACAUGUUUUUUUUUUUCGUUUAUCAAUGGUGGAUUUUUCCAUAUUCUCCUCCAUUGUUGCUGGGUUUCGAGCUCUCUAUUUCUGAGCUUUGUGGUCUGUUAAAUCUUUUUUUUUUAAAAAAAAACAUAUGGUUACUAUUCACACGUGACAAAACCGGAUUUACAUUAAACUUAAUGUAAACCGGGUGCAUAUAAAAACUUUUGUAAUUGCAAUAUCUUCUAUUCUGUUGGAUUUAAUACAAAAACUUAAAUAAACCUGGUCCACAAUAAUUUAUUGUGGACCUUGUAUUGUCACGUGACUCUCUCUCCAACAUCUUACUACUGCUUCCUCUAUUCCCACCCAAAACCCAUGUUUUUUAUUUCUUUUCCCAAAAAAACGCAGCGAAAACGCUUUCUCUCUCUUCCGACCUUCCGUUCUUCCAUUUUCUCUCUCUACAAAAUCAGCUCCGGUUUUUCUGGAAAAUUGCUCGAAUUAUUCUUCAAUGGCAAGAACUAGAGGUGGUGGUACAUUUCAACGGAGAAGAGGCCUUCGUUCUUCAGCUACUCAACCACUUUCUGGCUUGAAGAAGAUAACUAAAGCUAAAAAGAAAAAGAGUAUUGCGAUUGAGGCUCAUGAAGGUGCUCUUGAGCAUCAAGUUUCUACAAUUAUAUCACCAUCAUCUCGUCGUAAGAGAACUCAUGAUGAAUUCGAAGUUGAACCUGCUGCUCUUGUUCGUCCUAAGAAGCCAAGGACUAGAACGAAGAAACCAAUAGUUGAAAGCUGCUGAAACUGGUGGUGAUGUACCUACAUUGCGGCCAUUUAAAACUAAAUGUAGGCCUUUGCAUUUGGUUGACAUGAUAUCUAACUUUACUCUUGAUCAAAAAAAUUCUGUAAAUUAAAUUGGCUUUGGAGGGUUGUUAUCAUUGAAGUUGAAAAGGAAUCCUACUAGUAUGUACAGGUGGCUAAUUGAUUCUUUUGACUGUGGUAGCUGCAUGUUUUCAAUUGGUAAUAAUAAGGAGUUUGUGGUGAAUGAGUAUGAUGUGUUUUGCCUUCCUUUGAACCCCAAAAAUGUUGAGGAGAUACCUAGAUCUGCUAAUAAUCCAGACUUUAUUUUCAAACAUAAUUGGAGAUUGCAUUUUGGGUUGACAGAUAAAAAUGAUCAAAUUCCACUUAAUUUGUUAGAAGCUAGGAUACCUACUUUAGGCCAAGGUGGAGAUGAGUUUAAGCAACUCUUUGUUAUGCAUGCUAUAUCCACGUUUAGCUCCUACUUCUAACAGAACUGCUGAUCUUAGGAUUGUCAAGGCACUUGAUGAUGUUGAACAAAUUAAGAAUUUGAAUUGGUGUAAAUAUGUUCUUGAAAAACUGUGUGAAGGUGUUAAAAGUUACAAAAAAGGAGAAAUUCAGAACUGUUGUGGUUGUGUUUUGAUGUUGGAGAUUAUUUACUUUCAUAGGUUGAAAUUUAGGAAUGUUGAAUUAAUUACUUCUUUACCCUUAAUUCAACAUUGGAAUGAUGAGUUGAUGAAGGAUAGAAUUAAGAAGGAAAAAUUGUCCAAAAGUUUUGGGUGUGGGAUUUUACUGAUGUGUAUCCUGUUAGUGGUAAACUGAAGUUUCUGGAUGGACAUGUUGUGGGUAUUGCAGGGGGAAGUAUGGGGAAUGUUGGGGGAGUGAUAAUGUUGUGAGGAAUGUCGGGAGGAGUGUUGAUGUGCCUGAUUCCCAGGGUACAAUACAGUUCAUUCGCCCAGCAGGUUCGAUGUCAGAUCAAGAGAUCCAUUCGGCUGCUAUUGAUCCCGUUCAUGAGCAAUUUUUGUUCAUGAAAAGAGAUAUGCAUGUGAUCUCUUCUUUUUACAAUGACAAGAUAAAAUAGAUUCUUCUUUCACGUGGUGAGGCCAACAACUCUUCUGGCUCUUCUGGUAUUAAUUUGUCCCAGGAUGAUUCGUUUUUUAUGGAUCCUCAAGUUCAAUCUGUGAUUGACGGGUAUUUUUUCACCAAAAGCAUUUGAUUCAAAGGCUAGAAUUGUACACAUUAGGAGAGCCUUCUGAAAUCACGAGCAGUAGUAUUUUGGAUUGCUGGGCAUUGCUUCUCAAUGAAAAUCAGAAAUAUUUGAAGGAUGGACCUUGGAAAUUAUACUUUGGUUCUUCAAUUAGUGUUACAAUAGUAGAAGCUGCCGGCAGUGAUGGCAAUUCACAAAUAAUGGACAAUGUUUAUCAAGAUAUUUUUACCUUGUCUUUGGGGUAAUCAAUAUUGCUUAUUUGUGGUGAAUUUGACUGAAGGAAAAAUUCAGUUUAUUGAUAAUCUGAAUUAUGAUGAGGAUAAUCGUAUGUUUUUGAAAAAGUUGUCUAGUCUCCUGUGUGAUAUGAUCAGUACCUUCUUUGAUCAAAGGCUUACUCAAUCUGGAGAUAUGGUUGACUACGCUUUGGAGUUUCCUACUUUGAAUUGGAGAUCUAGCAAAGAUAAUUCAGAUUUUGGUGUUUAUAUUAUGAUGAGCAUGCUUUUAUUCAAUGGAGUUGAUGAGUUUAAAUGUGAAGUUGUAAAAACAGCUUCAAAUAGGAAGAUUCUCCGGAUUCAAAUUGCUGCGUCUUUGGUAUUAUCUGAUAUGAAUGAAGCUAGAUCAAUUAUAAUUGAUAAGGUGGCUGAAUUCAAACUUGAUAGGUAGCGUCUUUCAAAAGAGGUUGAAGAAAGAAGAAAAAAAGAGAUUGAAGAGAGGAAGAAUAAGAAGCCAACUGAAGACAAGAAGAAGAAAGGAAAGGGGAAGGGGAAAGCUUAAGAUUUCAGAACAUGAUUUUUUGACUUAGUAUUAAUUCAACUUUUGUGUAUGAUAUUGAAGAAGAUUGAAAAAAUAUUCAUUUUGUGUAAACAAGCAUUUGCCAACAUUUUAUGAAAAUGGUAUAUUGUUUGUUUAAAAAAAAAGUCUCAAUAUUAAUAUACGGGUUACUAUGCUAA